rnacentral:lncRNA from 1 species
ACCAAUCCGCCGACAUGGCAGUUGUGUAGCUCAUUCAAUACUUUGCCUCUGAGAUUGGAAGUUGACCCCAAACAAAACUUUCUACGAUAAUAUAGAAUGCCUGUCCUAAUUUUAUAAUCUGGGUCAAAAAUAUCCACUCGUUCCCUUCUCCUUUAGUUCCCAGAUCCCUGAGUCAGUUUCAUUUUCUACCACCAUGCGAUCCGCUCAAUCUGACACCAAGAUACUCGUCAGUUCCUUCAAUUGAGAUGACUCAUUUUCGAAUUCCACUGUCGGCAGUCGGGAAAGCUCAUCGGCCGCCGAAGAUCAGGUCAACUUCUAUUACUAUUUUCAUUUUGUUGAUUUAGAUCUAGAUCAGAAAUAUGAUCUCGUAGCAUCUCUGAAUUCUGUUGGAGCAAUCUCCUUCUUUCAUCCCGUGCUUUCAUCGACAGGAAUUAUAACCUAUAAACUGGUGCUUUCAUCUCGUAUUACUCACUUAUUUUUCAGGAAAAGAUGACAGAGUCAUCGGAUUUGCAAAGCCAAUUAAUUCAACACUCUGAAAAAUUGCAAAUAUCUCUCAAGUUAAAAAAAUUACUGAGAUUCAAGAUCGAAUUAAGAAAAUUGGAAACAAAUUACAGGAAUCCAUGGAAAAGAAUAAGGAUGAAUUCAACAAGAUGAUCAGAUAAAUAUCCAAAGCUGUAGCAAAAAUCUCAAGGAAGAUAUCUACACGUAAACAUGCUGGAUUUGCAAAUACCUCUCAAACAAAGGUCCAGGAUGUGUUGUCUAGUGAUGAUGAAGAGGAGAAUUAUCUAGAUUGUCCAACCUAUAUAUGCUUCUGCAUUCUGUGAGGAUUCAGAUAAUCUAUUGUUAGAAAAUCUCAAGAUGGACAUGCCUCAGUUUGAUGGAACUGAUCCUCAGGAUUCAGAUUAGUUAUUUAAAUCCAGGAGAUUUUUCUUAUGUUAUAAAAAACCAUAAUAUCACAAGUUACUGUUAGCUUCCUUCUUCUUUUUACAUCAAAAACAUUUGCAGUAUUAGGAGGGAGGUUCGCUAGAUUAUAUCAGAUCUCUACUGUUACUGAGUAUAUGAAC